rnacentral:sRNA from 1 species
GCCAGGCAUGGUGGCACAUGUCUGUAAUCCCAACCACUCUGGAGGCUAAGGCAGGAGGAUUGCAAGUACAAGGUUAGCCUCAGCAAUUUAGUGAGGCUCUGAACAAUUUAGCUGGACCCUGUCUCAA